GGACUCCUCUCUGGCUGCUCCUCCUGGAGGAGAUGCUGUGUGCUGAGCUUCAAGGUCAUGUAGAAAAAGGAUCAAUCCUCUAGACCACGGGUUGAGAAUCAAAUUGCCUGUGUGCCCUGAAGUCUGAGAAUCAAAUGAAGAAGUUUACCACGUGGAGACUUCAAAUUUUACUUGAACUAAGUCUAAAAAAUGACCAGAGAACUUUUUACUGUGAUUUUUGCCAUAUGGAUCACAGAAGAUCCCUGAAUAGGCGCUACCUGGAGCCUUCCCACUGUUGAGCAGAAGAAUUACUUUGUUUCUUCACUCUAUGUUUUGGGUAUCCAUGCUUAAUGCAUCUGAGCGUGGCAUUAAAUAUUA